rnacentral:rRNA from 1 species
AUUGAACGCUGGCGGCAUGCCUUACACAUGCAAGUCGAACGGUAACGGGCCUUCGGGUGCCGACGAGUGGCGAACGGGUGAGUAAUGCAUCGGAACGUACCUUUCAGUGGGGGAUAACGUAGCGAAAGUUACGCUAAUACCGCAUAUUCUGUGAGCAGGAAAGCAGGGGAUCGCAUGACCUUGCGCUGAUUGAGCGGCCGAUGUCAGAUUAGCUAGUUGGGGAGGUAAAGGCUCACCAAGGCGACGAUCUGUAGCGGGUCUGAGAGGAUGAUCGGCGACACUGGGACUGAGACACGGCCCAGACUCCUACGGGAGGCAGCAGUGGGGAAUUUUGGACAAUGGGGGCAACCCUGAUCCAGCCAUGCCGCGUGAGUGAAGAAGGCCUUCGGGUUGUAAAGCUCUUUCGGCCGGGAAGAAAUCGCACAGGCUAAUACCUUGUGUGGAUGACGGUACCGGAAUAAGAAGCACCGGCUAACUACGUGCCAGCAGCCGCCGUAACAC